CUUUUUUUUUUUUUUUUUUUUUUGUCAACAUAAGGAGUAUCUCAACUUUUGCCAGACUAAUUUUCCUGCGCCCGUGCAUCUCGCCCCCAUGAAUACACGAGACGGUAGGAGAACCAGAAUCAACCACACGACCUGGGCCUAAUGCGGCUAUCCCAUAGCCAGCCGAUCUGCGCCGAGGGGCAAUAAACCCGCAUCACGUGCUUUGUAUGAUUGUUGCUCAUUCUAUACUAGUAUAAUUUGUUUGAACCAGGACUCAUCAGCUUAAUUGAUGGUAGGGGGAUUAUGUAUGACAAAAGUUUGGGUCUGUGCCAAAUUGGAUACGUUGUUUGCGACCCCACAGAACCAUAUUUUGAUCAAUCACUUAAAGUCUGCAAGAACCAGCGUCAGAUGGAGGCAUCCAGUUUUGCUGUUCAUGCAAGCUUUUGCUUCUGGUAAAAACAUUGAAAGGAGAAUGUGACGAGUCAUGCUUUUUUAUGGACUAGCGAGGCAAAUUCCUUAAUUACAGCUUCUGCAACGGAGUGAUGAUACCAAUUUAGCAGCAAAUUAAGUGCCGGCUUUUGCAAUUUCAAGCAAUUAUUGUCUCAAGAAUUGGUCCCCCGGGGGCCAGCAGGUCGCAACAGCAGGCUACGAGUCACUAGUACUAUCUACAUGCCUAUAUGGUUCGUAGAUGCAUGCAUGGUGAUUGGUGCAACCAACCUUAGCUGGUGGGUUCUGUCUUGAAUACUGAAUAGUACCAAGGUUGUCGCUUCGCAAUCGACGCUUCCCCAAUUCACCUCAUCCAUCCAUCCGUUUCUCUCCAGUCUCUAUACGCAUAACGCCGAUACACAUUUAUAAAUAUAAGUUGACAUAUAUUGCCUGUUACGUACAGCUUCAGUGCAUAUCCUUUUCUUUUAUUGUGCAGUACGUCCAUCGAGUACAGUACCGAUAGUUCAUUAUUGUGCAGUACUAAAGAGUACCGAUAGUUAAGUUUGUUCAUUAUUAUCUUUUUUGGAUAAAAAAACAAAAGUUUCUGAAAUUUCCAUUCUGUUCACGAGGACUAAAAUCGCUUAUAGAAGUACUUAUAGGUAGGUUAUUUGCUAAUACAAUUUUCACGUGGAGAUUUGAACUGAACAUGCACUUUUUUUUUUUUUUGGGUAAAGAGUCGACCGAUUCAGUCAACAUGUAAUAGCCAACACUAGUGAUUCGUUCUGUUCAAUACUACUGGUAUCCAGGUGAAGUGCAGUGCUAGAAUCGAAACAAGCUGAUGAUCUCAGCGACUCUGCUGGCUCCUGCAGGCGGGCGGUGAGCAGAUGUUGCAAGACUUUACUAGCUGUCUGCAAUCCAAGUGUAAAUGCCCAUCCCCCCCGAGUCUUGUCUAAAUCAAGCAUUGAAGGGAGGGAGGAUUGCAACUAGGCCAGGCUCCAUCCUGACUUUUGUUUGCCCGAUUGAUUGCCAGGCACUCUCUCGUUUUUUUUUUUUUUGUUUGUGUUGUCCAUUCGCGCGCGGCUCCAAAAAUUAACAGCUGCAUCUGGUAGAACUGCAUAGAUGUGAACUACAGUUGGACAGAAUGAAUCCACGUCUAUCAAUUAGGUAGGCGCAUAACCAGUUUUUCGGCCACACGAUCAUUCCAUUGUAACAUGUAGACAUUCGUUUAAGACCCACGAUGAUCAUCUUAUCUGUGUUCCUAUAAAACAGUUUAUAAUGCUGCGAUGAAGCAUGGUCGAAAUUACUUACUCGUUCAAUUAAGAAGAGAAAAGUUGAAUGCAAAGGUUGCCGGCAUGAAUUUUAUUUCGUCCUUGUUAAACUUGAACAUUAAUUAAACACCACUCAACUUCAUUUACUUAAGUUGGGAGUUACACUACUAUUACCCUUCUAUUCUUUUUGUUCAAGGCAGUUCCCGAUAAAUGAUUUUCUUGACAAAUCAAGUGUAUGAGAAACUGUCGCGUAUGUACCUGAGACCGAGUACAUGUUCUUUGAUGUUAGUAAUACCCAAACAAUCAAAAUGGUUGAUUUUUUACCUAUUUAGGUGAAGCUCAAAUUGACUUAUGCUUCCUUCUGAGCCAUGUUAAUUAAGAGGAUAAUUUCGCCACAGACUCGGAAUCUAGAUGUUUGUACAGCGAAUUUGUUUUUCCAAUUUUUUGAAAAGCGUUACAAAAAGUCAAGAUGGCCGAGUUGGUCUAAGGCGCCAGUUUCAGGUACUGGUCCGAAAGGGCAUGGGUUCGAAUCCCAUUCUUGACAUCUAAUUUUUUUCCCCUUCAGAAUUGGUCCUUUAAUUUAAGUAAUCAAGCCCAUAGCUUGGGCCAACGGCAACAAGCGGGCAGCUUCAAUACUUGAACUACCAUCAAUUGUCCAAAACUUUUCUCAACCCCCGUCACAAAGAUGACCUGCCCUUGUGGUGGAACGGAUGCUGCUGCUGAUUUCUAUUGGCCCAAAAAUAAUUGCUUCUCACAAAUAAAUAUUUGGAAAUGUUCAAUUAAUGCGGGAUAACAUCUGGAGAUUAGGGAUAAUAAAUUUGAAAGUAUGCACCUUAAAUCGAAAGUGUUUUAAUUGUAAAUAGAAUAGCCUCUCAAUAUUACCAAAACACCUUUUUUUUUUUUUUUUUGCUGCCAAAAACACCCCAUCCCCCUUCUUCCUACCUCCCUAUCAAAUUUAAUAUUUGUCUUAUAAUUAGUAUAUUAAAUUUUAUAAAAUAGUAUAUUAAGUUCUUUUAUAACAAUUUUUGUUCAAGAAAAUAAAAAUUAUAGAAUAUAAAAAAGUGCAUGUGCAAAUGCACAGGAAAGAAACUAGUUAAUAUGUAUAUAUAUAUAUAUAUAUAUAUAUAUAUAUAUAUAUUAAGUAUUGGUUUGAUUAUUUAUUGCUAUUACUAAAUUUGAAUAAAGUACGCUGCAUUAAUGUUCAUGUGGAUAGUUUUUUACUAAACCUUCCUCUUUAAAAGAUUCAUGUACUUGCAAGCAUGCAUGCAUGCAUACAUACAUGUACACUUAUGUACGUGAAAAUUAAACCUUCAUCUUUAAAAGAUUCAUGUACUUGCAAGCAUGCAUGCAUGCAUACAUACAUAUAUACUUAUGUACAUGAAAAUUAAAUUAGGGAAAAACUAUCCACAUGAACAUUAAUGUGGCGUGCUGUAUUUAAAUUUUAGUAAUAGCAAUAAAUAAUCAAACCAAUAUUAGGAAUAAAAGCAUGUGAUUGAAGAUGAUUAGAAAAGGAAACAUAUGAGUUGAUUGACAAAAAACAAAUAAUGUAGAAUUAAUACAGAUUUGUAUAAGGUAGGUCAUUAAUAAAUUUGUUGACAUUGAUUAUAAAUAAGGAACCAUGUUACGAAUGAAGUAAAAAAAGAUGAGAAUUAAUGGUUACAAAGAAUAGAAAACAAAAAAUAUAUAUAUAAACAUGAAAAGCCCUCCACGUGGCGAAAAGAUAGAUAGCCUAUUCAAUGACCUACCAAAACCAGAACUGAUCAUUGUGCAAAAAUUCUAGUAUUAUUUGAAAUAUUAUUUGAAAUAAUUAUUAUAUCACUUUUUAUGAUGUGAUGUAUGUGAGAUAAAAAGAUAAUUGAGAAUAUAAAAAGAUGGGUUAGGAAAUGUGUUUAUGAUGCAAGCGAAAUAUAAUUUCCCACAAGAUUUAAAAAAUUCCAAAUCCUUACCAAAAGAAAUUCUACCAAGAUUUAUGUGCAAAAAAUUUACAUAUUUGGGCAAAGAGUGUAGGCAGGGUGCGGGGGAAAAUGUCACGGUGGAUCCACCUCUUCUUAAAUGAGACAAGGCUAUUACGAUGGAAGAUGAAAGGUUGUACCAAGUGUGGAAACUGGAAAUGCUACCUACCUUCUAAGAUGAGCAUCGCAAUAUUAAUAUUUGGAGGUACAACUGUACCCCCCCCCCCCCCCAGUAAAACAAUGGCUGCCUACCUCACAUCACCUCCCUCCAUCACCAUGUCCUUUCUGCCCCUCUCUGUCAGCCCCAUUGGACCACUACAUACAUCAGAUGAUUGUGACUAACUAAGAAGAUAAAAUGAAAAAUCGUUUGAAAACGGAUAACUGAGAAAAGGGGUAGGGAAAUCAUCUGCUCUGCGGUAUAAAUAAAGCUAUCUCCCCUACAUAUAUAUACAACUAAGCGACUGAAAACACAAGCUGCUGUGUUCUGCAACCAAGAAAGAAAUUAAGAGACAGAAAAAGGCACUAGAAUUAAUCAAGUUAUCCGUCGUCGACGCAUUAAACUUGAAGGCAAGCAUUUCUACAACAUAUCUAUCUCCUUGAUUUAUUGAGCUUUGUUUGUUUGUUUGGAUGCUGGAAGGAUAAGGGCUUCAUGCAAGAACUAGCUGCAUUCAUUUAUGAUUUUGACAUUAUGUUUGAGAAAAUAUUCGAAACUUUUUUGAGUUUCAGCUCUAUCUAUCUGCCAUUUUUCGUUUCGUAGCAAGUAUCUGUUGCCAUCUUCCACCCACCGCACCCACCGCCGCUGUAUAUUUAUAAUCCAGAUCAAGCUGUUUUUCACGUUAAAACUUCUUUCUUUUUCAUGAAUAACUGAUCUUUUAUUUGCCAAUUUUUAUACCUUUUGAGUUGGCGCAUGACAUAUUCUUACAUUUAACAGCGAAUUUAUGUAACAUGAUGUUAUUUUUUUUAGGUAUUUAUUAGCGCAAUCCAUUUUAUUUCUCUUUGCCUUUUCAACCAUUUGGAUUAGUUUUAUACUUCUUUUUUACCCCACUCUUUUGAGGGGAAACAAAAUUACUCCUACUAUUUUUGUCGACUAUAUAUAUUGCAAUUAUUACACGAUAUAUUACCACAAUUAUAGGCAACAGAAUUGCAUUGACCGGAUCAUAAAAUUAUCCGUUUUUAAUCCGCAAUUAAUUUGCGUCGCUGUAGAACUGGCAAAUAUAGGAAGGAGGAUUGGAUGAUGAAGCGUGCCUUAGCUGCUUUCUUUUCCAUACUGGAUUUUUAGGCAAUCUUAACUGUGAUUCUGGUACGAAUUAACCUUAUCCAUAAAAAUGAAAUCAUCAUUCAUGGAAUCUAUUCUGUCGUGGCUACAAUUUGGUCGCAAGAUGGUAAGUCUGUCACAUGCAGGAAUAUCUUGAACAUUAUUGCCCAUAUCAAUUUUCCUCCUACUUUCCACGGCUCUCCAGUCCCGUCAAAUUCCAUAAGUACCCUAUAGAAUAAACCAACAAAGAUACAACAGUCUAAUUUAGCAGAAAGUCUUUUGGACAGGUUGAGAAGAAAGUUUUGAGGUACGUAAUGUUCAUGAGUAGUGGUAGUUUCGUACAACAACACGUACUUUCACAUGUGAGGGGGACGUGCGUCCUUCAUGCAUUUGUCCCUUUUUUUUUUUUUGGGAUGUUUUGUCCAUGUAGCUGGAUAAACGCAAGAUUCAUCUAGUCCCCGGCCGAUGUUUUUGGGAUUUUUUUUUUGGGAUGUUAUAUCUGCGAUUCAGCAGGUAGUCAAAAGUGCGGAAGAAGUUGAAUUCAUUCAUAAUUUGUGAGAAGAGAAUGAUACAGAGAAUCAGGACAAAAAGAUUGAAAGUUUUUAAGUUGUUGAAGUGUCCAUCUUCCUCCUCCUUCCCUGUAUUUUCUCGUCUAAUUCCAGCUUUAAGUUGUUAAGUAUUAUGUGCCCAUCUUCCUCCUCCUUCCCAAUAAUUUCUCAUCUAAUUACAGCGUUGCCCGAUUGGCUUCCGCAAUAUUUGGAAGGGGUUUUAUUUAAUCAGACUUCCCCAUCCCCCUUCCUUAAAUCCAACACGCCCGCCUCAUUCCUCUUUGUAUUCCCAACUCCCGUUCCCAAACUACUCCAUCGAAGAUCCCAACUCUUAUCUUAAAAAAAAAGAAAAGAAAAAAAGAGCAGCCAUAUUCUCUUCCUCCGCCUCCGCCUCCGCCUGGAAAGAUAAUAAAAAAACUACAUCGAGGGAGUGCAACAAGAAGGAGGACUUUGUCUGGCCCAUUUUUUUUUUGGUCCAAUUGAUGCGUAUCCUUCUGAUCAGAAGGAAGCUGUGCAUGGGCGCUUUCUUUGUAGUUGAUAACGAACCCUUCGGCUAAGAAAACUGCUCUAUUCAUAUUUUAUUUUUAAAAGGAAAAGCAAAAGGUAAUUAUUCUCGCGUUCUGAAAUUAUUUCUGAUUUUCUCGUGGCAAAUAUGAUUUUGUUUGGCGUUCAUCUUUCUUUUUUUGCCGGAUUUCCCUAAUUAGAAUCAAAGGAAAAUCCUUCCUUCCUGAAUCCUGAUGCUUUUGGACCACUGGAGGAGAAAAAAAAAAGUGGAGGGCUGGUUAGGUCCGAGUCGUUUGCAGUCACGUUCCACCGUCUCUUCUUUGUCCAACAUUUGCACCGUCAUCCGUCAACUGUGAUAUCAUGAGCCCAAUAUUGUCGCGUUCUUUUCUCUCUUUUCUCCUUCCGAGUCAAAUAUAUAAGUUGUUUGACAUUGAAAGGUAUUUUCGAGGUUGCACCUGAUCCAAUUAAAGAUUUCGUAACCUUCUGAAUUAAAAAUGGGGUUCAUUCGGGCAGUUUUUUCUUGAUGUUGUCUCAUGGGAAUCAUGGCUUGUGUUCAUUUAUUUAAGUUUCCAUGAAAGCUGAAGGCCUGAAUCCUUGUAACAAAUUAAAUUAUAUUGACAUCCUGGACUAAAUGUCUUAAUUGAAUCUGGGCACAAAGUAAAAGAUUUCAAAGACAGCGACGGAACACAUGACCACCUUUUCAGUUCCACUUAUCUAUCCAGUGACAUUGCUGGCAGUCUUUGAUUCGUCUGGCCAUUUCUGAAUCGUGCCUAUACAUGGUUGAAAUAUGACGAGUACAAUUGACCAGGGACUACAGUCAUCAUUUCUGCACUCUGUCACGUUACGAUUCUAUUGAGUAGAAUGAUUAACUCUCAAAUGCUGUUUUCCCUGCAGGUUUUCUUGAUCUCGGAAGCAUCUAUCGAAACUUUCUUCCAUUUUUUUAUCCAUUUGGAUUUUUUUUUGCUGUAGUUACUACCCAGUUGGAAUCAAGAUGGUGGAGGGGGGUGUUACUGCUGUGAGCAGAACAGAGCUCACGGAAUUCUGGCGGACGAUAUGGAGAACGCCUUAUAUUAUGCGCCUUGCCUUAUCAGCUGGAAUUGGAGGGCUUCUGUUUGGCUAUGACACUGGUAAGUAGACCUCGCUCCUUACUAAUUUCGAACGAUCACUUCAUCAUUUGUACGGUCUGAUAAUGAUGAAAUGCUGCUGCUGCUGAAUGCAUCAAUGAAGCAAAAAUAUUUCUUUGCAUUCAAGCUCUUACUUUUGCAGCUUUAGCUCGUCAAUCAAUCCAUCCGGGGAGGGGCCAGAAUGUAGAACAGUGCAUGAGCUUCAAAUUAUCAAAAGUAGUAGUUGAUCAAAUAGUAGUACGCGUUCUGUUCAAGUUUAUUGAAAUCGUUGUUUUGAUGCAGGUGUUAUUUCUGGUGCCUUGCUCUACAUCCGGGAUGACUUUGAUUCCGUUAAAAACAACACAUUUCUGCGAGUAAGUUACUUGCAAAUGCCUUUUGUUUGCACGAUGAAACGACUGGUUAAUUAAUAUCAGACAAGAUGGUUUAUUAUGAUACUUUCUCUGUCACGUGAAGGAAACUAUUGUUAGCAUGGCAGUAGCAGGAGCUGUGAUUGGUGCUGCAUUUGGUGGUUGGCUCAAUGACAAGUGUGGUCGGAAGAAAUCAAUUCUUUUAGCUGAUAUGCUGUUCGUUGCAGGUGCCAUACUUAUGGCUGCUGCUCCUGGUCCCUGGAUGAUCAUUAUUGGGAGAAUAUUUGUGGGAUUGGGAGUUGGAAUGGCGUCCAUGACAGCACCUCUCUAUAUUUCGGAAGCUUCUCCUGCUAGAGUUAGAGGUGCGUUAGUUAGUACCAAUGGUUUGCUGAUUACCGGAGGAGCUUUUCUGUCUUAUGUGAUCAACUAUGCAUUCACCAAGGUAUAAGAUAAGAUUGAAUCCCCAAAGCAACGUUCUUGAAACAUAACAUACUACCGGUACAAGUUUCCUCUAAAACAGGAAAAAAAAAAAAUAGGAGUGAAGAAGUUCUGACUUGUAUUUAUUUCAUGUGCCCUAGACGCCUGGGACGUGGCGUUGGAUGCUUGGAGUAGCAGGUUUUCCGGCUCUGAUCCAAUUUCUUUUGAUGCUUUGGCUUCCUGAGUCUCCUAGAUGGCUCUAUAUGGAGGUAAAUACAUAUGUAGUGGUAGUACUGCGAAUUUUCUGUUGUGGUGUGGUGUGGUGUUUCAAUAAUACCAAUUCUCGGUUAAUUUUCAUCAAAGUUUGAUGUUGGCGACCUUGAAUUCUGUUGAUUAGAAUAAAACGGACGAAGCUAGGAAGAUUCUGGAGAAGAUUUAUCCUGCCGAGGAAGUUGAGGAAGAAGUCCAGGCCUUAAAAGCCUCCAUCGAAGCUGAGAAAGCUCAGGAAGGGCCUGUAAAUGAAAACUUUUUCGCGAAGCUUAAAGCGGCCUGGGGUAAUGUAGUGGUCCGGAGGGGACUGUAUGCCGGAAUCACCGUCCAAGUAGCUCAACAGUUUGUUGGUAUCAACACCGUUAUGUACUAUAGUCCUACCAUAGUACAAUUUGCGGGAUUUGCUUCAAAUUCGACCGCUUUGGCACUAUCUCUGAUUACCUCUGGGCUUAAUGUUGUGGGUACCAUCAUCAGUAUGCUUUUUGUUGACAGAUAUGGCAGGAGGAGAUUGAUGAUAGUCUCCAUGUUUGGGAUCAUAGUUUGUCUGGUGGUGUUGUCCGUCAUGUUUUUUGAAGCUGCCUCUCAUGCCCCACGAGUCAGUCACUCUGAAUCCUUCAAUUUUAGCGUCAAUUCUACCUGUCCCAGCUUCGUCCAAGCCUCAAAUCCUGCAUCUUGGAAUUGCAUGACAUGCUUGAACGCAUCUCCUAAGUGUGCCUUUUGUUCUAAUGGAGCUAGCCAAGUGAGUUUUAAUUUUACAUGCUCUUAUUAAACGCUGUUCUUUCGAGGUUUCCACGAAUCUGUGAUUGAUACUUUUAUUAUUAUUAUUUUUUUUUUCAGUAAAUUGAUUGAUGAUUCGUUUGAAUAUGUGAUUCUUUCAUCAGUAUCAACCUGGGGCAUGCUUAGUGGUGGACGAUGCUCUGAAGGCUAAAUGCCACAGCGAACAUCAUCGCGUAUGGUUCACCGAAGGCUGUCCGAGCAAAUUCGGAAUUUUCACCGUCCUGCUCCUAGGAUUGUACAUCAUUUCGUACGCUCCUGGGAUGGGGACUGCACCUUGGAUCGUGAACUCUGAGAUAUAUCCAUUGAGAUACAGAGGGUUAGGCGGUGGAACUGCGGCAGUCUCCAACUGGGUAGCUAAUCUGAUUGUCAGCGAGACAUUCUUGACGCUGACAGAGGCACUUGGGUCUGCCGGCACUUUCCUUUUGUUUGCUGGAUUCUCCUUUCUUGGACUGGUGGCCAUUUUCUUCGUCGUACCUGAAACCAAAGGUUUGCAAUUGGAGGAGAUUGAGAGCGUGCUCCAAGAGGGUUACAAGCCAACCUUGUUCUGCUGCAAGGGAAAAGCAGAGGAAAAGGACAGUGGCAGGUGAAUAUCCAAACCAGUGCUGCAGCUGCUGCGUAAAUAAAUUUUUUUAAAAAAAAAGGGUCUUGCCUGCCUAAGUUUAAUGUUGAUCAACUUUUUUUAAGUUUAAUUUCCAACUGCGCUUGGGCUUGUUUUAUUUAAUCAACUAGUUUUGGACCCGUUCGUUGAACGGGAAUCGUCGAAAAAUAAUAAACUAUUUAGUCAAUUUAUAAAAAUGUCGAUAUAAAAUACAUAUUUAAUGUAUAAUCUAUUAUAAUUUGUUUUAAAUAUAUUACUAUGAGCGCAUUAUAAUGUAAAGUAUUCUUAUAAUAUAAAUUUGAACAUCUAAUUCAGUGAAUAAUAAUUCAAAAAUAGAAAAAAUAAUAUUCAACAAUAUCAUAGCAUUCAAAAACUUGAAAAUAAAUAAAAAGUGCAGUAAAUAGUAUCAAAUAACAUUCUACUCUUCAUAAACUUAUUUUUGUUUUUUCUGUUUGAAUAUUUUUCUUGAUUUGUCCGUGCAAAUGAGUAUUUAUUGAUUUUCUAUUAUCACUGCAUGAUAGCAAAGUAGGAUAAUUAAGUAUAAAAAAAAUAAAUGAUUUAUCGCAUUCAAGGUUGUGUAUAACAAUACGUAAAGAUUAUAAUUAAGCAAACGGCCAGAGUCUUUUAAUUAACUAAUGAAUUUGCAGAUAUAUCUAAUAGAGAUAUUUAUGUCUCUUAUAUUUAUAUCGCAUUACUUUCUAGUGCCUUUUGUUUUUGGUUGUUUUUUCUGAAGGCAAAUUAACAAACAUCGUAGUAUAUGACCACAAAAAUCAAUUAACAAACAUGAUAGAAAAAAUCCUACAAAAAAUAACAAUGAAAGUACUUGUUUAAAUCCUAUGUCUUCAUACAAAACAAAUAGAAAAUAAAACAAAAAAAAAUAAAAUUCAAAAUAUGUUAGUAAGCUCUUACAAUUGAAGAUCAACAUGCCUUUUUAAAAUAUAUAUAUAUUGAAAGAAAAUUUACCUGAUAAUCAAGAGAAGUGGAAACUCAAAAUCGAUACUUUAAUAUGACAACCGUUUGCACUGGAAAUAUCUAAACAUGAAUUUGAUGCUUGAAAUCAAUAUAUUAGAGACUAUAUAUAGUGUAGGUAUAAGAAAUAAGAAUUGAUAAGAACAUUAAAAGUAUGUUUAUCUUAAUUUAAGUUGCUUAAAGUACGUAACUUUGGGUAGGAAAUAAGAAUCCUACAAUAUAAAGAAUUCUUAUAGGAAAUAAAAUCAUAAUCGUCCAAAUAAUUUUGGGUAGGAAAUAAGAUCUUAUGUGACCCAUACUAUGCACGUAUAUAAACCUGUACGUAAUAAAUUUACAAAUGCAUUAUCAAGAUAGAUUUUACCGACCUUAAAAGACCACCUCCACUAUAUCGAGUCCUUUAAGUGCAUGAACUCCUAUAAUGUGAGUCUACACACGAAAUACUCCUCACCAUCUGGGCAGAGAUGUAUUGUGAUUAAAAAAUUAUUAAUAUAAAUAUAUUUUAAAAAAAAGACGGGCGGAGAACACUACGGAUACUACGGACGGAGGUCUUUCUCUUGGAUUGGAGGACACUAAGGACGGAGGGUCGGGUAGGGGUCUUCGGGGUGCAAAACUUCAACAAAUAUCUAAUGUUUUAUCUCAUAUUUCUUUAGUUAUGAUAAUGGGAUUUUAUUUCUUUGGUUAAUGACACUCCAUUUCUUUAUGGACUUUUCCAGAAAUUUUCAAUCAGAUGAAGUGUCAUUUCUCUUUGUACAUCAAUUAUGCAUGGGAACUGUGAGUCUUAUAAAAAUUUUCUCGGGCUAACUUUCUUUAAUUUUCAUGUUUAGAUUAUUUGUAUGUUGUUCUAUAUAUGGAUAGAUUAUCUUAAAAUAAAAAGGAUCUAUAAUGAAGCUGUUAAAAAAAAGGACACUAUAAAAAAAUAUUAUCAUUUAUUCCUAUAUAUCUAAUAGAGGAGAUUUAUGUCUCUUUUAUUUAUAUCGCGUUACUUUCCAGUUUCUUUUUUGGGUAGAAAAUAAGAAUCAUAUAAUAUUAAAAAAUUUUAUAAAAAAUAAGAAUUGAUAUAUAUCAAAACAAAAAAAGAAACAAGUCAUGUAGAAAACAACUUGUCGUCUCAUUAAAUCAUAUAAGAAAGAGAAAAUAUAAAGGGAUAAGAACGAGCAUACGACUUUAUUAUAUAUAUAUAUAUAUAUAUAUAUAUGAUACGUUGGUUUUUGGCAAGUGAAGUACUUACUAUAUAUUAUUUGGCCAAAGAGGUGCUGGUAAACUUACAAAUACAACAAUUUCGGACUCGGACCAAUUUGCUUUGUUGAGACUUUUAUCCAUCGGAUAGCAAUUAAUCUCUACCGUCCGUCUAGGCUUUAUUUCCUUAAUUUUUUGGUCAGUUCAAUGAAUGGAUAAAUAUCGUGAUGGUGGUGGAGCGCGGAUGCCUCCACUUUUAUCAAAUCAUUAUUAUUAUUAUUUACUCCCAGGAGACAAGUACCCCCCCCCCCCCCCCCAAAACAAACACACACAAAAAAGAAAAUUUUUUGACAACAAAUACUAACACUUGUAGCAAUCAUCGUCGGCCUGAGUUGUGCUCGCCUCGCCGGAGAAGUCCUUUUUGUUUUUGUUUAAUACAACAAUUGAUAAAAUGAUGAUCCCAAAUUCUACUGACUUGGUGAGGAAACAGCAGCAUUUGUUUUACUUGAACCCAUAUUUUGUUUUAUUUUUGUCGGCAAAUAUGUCAUCUAAUAAUUCAACAAUUAUUCUCGACCUCUAAGCUAUGCCCCCAUCCCCCGGCCCCCAAAAAAAAAAAAAAAAUCCUUUUAAAGCACUCUUCUUUUCUCGUUUUAUGAAUGAUUGGUGCAAACUCAUUUAGACAUUUAGUGAAAUGGACUGCAAAACAACCCGACUUUAGUCGGCAUUCGAAUAUCUGAUUACAACUUCUCUUCUUUUCAUCAAACUCCACAAUAAAACAAACUACCAGUCAUUACAGCCCGACUUUAGCAGCGGUAACGAGGCUCACAAUCUUGAGUUAAAACUAUUGAUGAUGCAGAAAGUAAUCAUCACAAGCCAAAUACACACAGGACAAUUGUCUGAACUCAAGGGCACACGGACAAACUCCAGACGGACAAAAAAGAUUUGAGAGCCAUGGCAAAAGAAAAUUCAAACUGAGUAAAAUAUAUUAUUAUUAUUGAUGAGCGGACGACCCCUACUAUCCAAACACAUAUUUUUAGUUGCUCCGCCAGCUAAUAAGGACAACACAGUAGUACUAAUACUGAAGAACGAAGAAGAAUGAAUUCACCAAAACCAUAAAAAGUUGGUGGCCAGCGCCAGCCAGCUUUCUUACUUUCCAUAGGAGGAGGCUAUAUACAGCGCAAGUAUGCAAAUGCAGCGCCCCCCCCCCCACCCCCGCCCGGGGGGGUUCCAUUUGAACUCAAACUUACUUUACAACAAGCACACUAGCAAGUUAAAAGGGACCCUACUCAACUUUUCAUCAUUUUUCAUCCUCUGCGUUGUCGCUUCAAAAUCAAAAACUGCCCCCCUCUGCCCCUCACCCUUUUCUCUCCCAACAAGUUAAAAAGCAAGAAUUAGACAUCGAGACACAUAACAUGUACCCUAAAAGUAAAAACCACCUACUAGCCUCGUGAACAUUUCCAGUCCAAUAAUAACCAAGAGGGUAUAAAAAAAAAAAACACCAUCCUUUUUACUUUUCACUGUUUUUCUAGUAAGAUCACAAACCAUCUUUGAUUUGCCAACCAUGGCGGCAACAGGGUCCGAGAUACCAAGUAUGCUAGAACAUUUUUAAGUUCUUCAAUGGAGAAACUGAAAGGAAGAAUGAGAAGAAAAGGCAGUUGUGUCCUCGUAUUGGAGUAGCAGCCCCCACUAAUAAAAGAUGCCAGACAUCAAUCAGUAAAAACAUGUGUGAAAGUGAAAGAGGACCCAAAACAAUAAUAUGAUUUUAAGUGGGGAGAGGGGGAGGAGGAGGCUGAGCAAGCAAAGUGGAGCAAGAAUGAGCUGCCUGCAUAGUUCCAUAUCAGCUAGUGGGGGCCUUUUUGACUUUGAGAACCACCAAACAGGCGCAACCAAGGUGACUAAUAUGCGAGAGAGAAUCACCAAUAGUCUAGCAUGAUUAGUCAAGAAGAAAAUCACCAAUAACGCUCCGCAUGUUCAUAGGAAUCAGAUAAUCACUUGUUAUCAGUUUCAACGAAUUUGGACAUCCAAAAACAAGCUACAGGAUUACAAUCCAAAUCCUUAGCAAACAAAACCAAAACCAGGCAACCAAAAUCUCACCCACAACGCCGUACAAUAGAAGUGUUAAUGAAGGAGGGAUGUAAACCCUCAAAAAGACCUACCCGAUAAUAAUUAAUAAUAAUAAUGCUUCUAAAAGUCAGCUCUUCAUACUAUUUCCUAGCAGUCUAUAUUUUCCCCACUCAAUAGUAGAAUCCCAAACUCUGCAUCACUCUGUACAAACUAUCAGAAACCUUCCUUCCUAUAUACAGCCAAAAACAAACCACAGCAAGCGCUGAUAGUUUGAUAUGAAGGCAACCAAUCAAAUACCUUCUACGGGGUUGAAGGAGAAGCCUCUUGUCUUGGUUCUCUCAAGUACUCCAGAAGCCUUUCAGCCUGCCAAAGAGGAUGAAAAUGGCGUCAAGGUUCGGCAUUUCAUGUGUCAAGAAAUAGAGAGUCUAAUUGAACAUAUAAAGGCAACAUAUCACUCUAAUCCUUUCCAUAGGCAGCAGGACGGGGAUGGGGAAAAUCAUGGCAAAGCAAAUUUUAAAUAGCCCACAGGGCAUUCAUAACCUCGUAAACAAAAAUCAAUACUCGGUACAAAUACCCAGAAAACAAUAAAUUCAACGAUCAAUGAACGAUACCCUGUAAAAUCUCAGCACUAUAUACCUUAACGAUCAAUGAACGAUAAAUUCAACGAUCAAUGAGCGGUACCCUGUAAAAUCUCAGCAUUAUAUAUCUUAACUAGAGGCUUCAAACUUGAUUCGAACCAACUUGUUAAGAUACUCUACCAAUUACGGGCGUCCAAAUAGUUCAGUAAGUAUGCUGGAUCAAUACGUUCAGAUAAAAAGUCAAACAAAUUAAGUUCAAGAUUUCCGCAACAACAAAUUCUCAAAAUUGCAGGUGAAGGAACAUUGGCUUGUUAUCACCUGUCAUUCGAUCUAACGCCCUAAACAGAAUGCUGCAGAAAGAUAUCUAACUACGUGAAACUAGCUUAAUUUGAUCGCAAACACAAGAAAUAGCCGAGAAACGGAAGCUUCAAUCAAUCACAGAGAAGAUCAAAACCUCACCUUGUGCUUAGCCUUAGCAGUCCCAGUCUGAGACAGCGCCACAAGGGGAGGGAUCCCCCCUUCCCUAACCAACAACCCUCUGUUCCGAACACUAUCCCCACAAAGCUGCAAUAAUGUCAACACCGCGAAUUCCUUCCCCUUAUCAGAGCCAUCUUCAAUAGCCUCCACAAAGGCAGCAAUCCCACCUUCCUCCACAAUUGCAUCGCGGCCCAUUUGAAUCCCGGCUAAGCUACUCAGCACCACCAUCGCCUUCUCUGCCAACCCUGUCCCUUGCUCUCCGACCAAACCCACCAGCGGCCUCACCGCGCCGGCAGUCACCGCCCUCUCCUUGUUCAGUUUGACCGAGCAAAGCUUGUAGAGAGUUGUCAAAGCAUCUUUCUUCCCUCUGUUCGACCCAUUUAUCAACAAGGCCACUAGCGGAGGAAUAGCCCCGCAUGCGCCUAUUGACAAUUUAUUACUCUCGUCGACUAAAGCUAAAUUCAGCAGGGCGCAGGCAGCGUUCUGUUUCGAGAUCUCGGUGCCGGUUUUCAACACAUAAACGAGUGAUUUUACAGCUCCAGCGUCAGCUAUCAGAGCUUUGUUAUCUUGAUGGAGGGAAAGAUUCAACAAGGCCGUGACGGCGUGCUCCUGCGUCAGGGGGUCUGAGCACCGGAGCAGCGGUAUCAAGGCCGGGACAGCUCCAGCCUCGCCAAUGAGAGCCCGAUUAUCGGCCCUGUUCUUGGCCAGGAGCCUCAGUUUAGCUGCCGCCGACCUUCGAACUGCGACGGAGGAGGAAUUGAGUCCGUCUACGCAGAGUUUGACGGUGGGCUGAAGGUCUUCCGGCGAGAUGCUCUCGAUAAUCUCAGUGGAGAAGGUUUCCCUCUGGAGAAAGCCAGUGCAGGGUUCGGGCUCGUCCUGGGGCUGGAGCUCAGAGAUGGGGGCAGGAUCGGGGACGGUGGCGAGUCGGUGGAGCUCGCCGGAGAUGUCGCUGGAGCAGGCGGACAAGUCGCUGCCGAAGGAACGGGAAAUCAUGUCAAGGUAAGUAAAAUCCUCAGCUACGAACGGGGCGGCGGGAUCCCGAACCCCUCCGGCGGGGGUGUGGGAGGCAGUUUUGGUGGCGAGUUCGCCGAGACGGAGGUCGAUGAGGGCGGAGUCAGACAAAUUUUCGGAAACAUUGGUAGAAAUUUGGGGAAGGGAGAGAAGGGAAGGGUGGUCGGGGGAGGCGUCAUGGAUUUGGAAGAAAUUGGAGCGAAUAGUGCGCAUGGAACGGCCCAUGGAGCGGUGAAGUUUAGCAGAAGAAGAGAGGGGCGGGGGAGUGUAAUAGUAAUGGUGUUGUUGAGGCGUUUGAGGGAAGCGAGAGGUGGAAUUGGGAAUGGAGUGAGAGUAAGUAUGGGAAUGGGAAUCUUCUACGGACACCAUCCUAUCGCUAUAAUCCUAAUCCUAAUGCUUCUAAUCCUGAGGAGUGGAAGAAGAGUAGACUGCUGUGUUGUGUUUCCUCGUAUUACUGAUGGUUUGUUUCCUUGGAUGACCAACCAACAAAUACAAAUAUGCUUUCCACCUGAAAAUCUAGACUAAACAACCUUCAUAUACACACAUAGCAGAAAGAACUAACUAACUAACUAACUGCUUGGGGUGGUGGUGGCGGUGGUUGUGGUGAGUGGUGGUGGGUGGUGGUGGCGAGAUAAUUUCCAUAAUCCGGGAAAUUAUAUGCUUUGCUGGAGCCUCGGGACUGGAGUGGAGUGGAUGUGGAAUGAAGAGUCAGUCAUCCGUGUGAGUGGCGUGUUUGGCUCGUACUGUGGUCGUAGCUAUAGUAAUAAUGGAGAAGACGACUAGCAAGAGGAUGAGGAGGGUAAAGUGAAUACUAUGAUGGGAGGGGGUUUGGCGAAUUAAAAAGGGAGGGUACCCCUUACCUUACCUUACCUUACAUAUGGAUGAAUUUGAGUGCUGAGAGUGAUGGAAGGUUCUGGUUUGGUCCAUUUGGUGGGCUCUGCUUGCUUGCAAAGGGUGGAUGGAAGGUUAUAUUUAUUAUAUUUGAUAAGUUCACGGCGCUGUGUUGUUAUAUUGGGCCUCACAAAGGAACAUACAGCUGGAAUGUGAUCCACUGCUGGGGGCCCCACUCUCAGAAGUGUGUGAGGCAAAGCUUCCCGGGGGUGGAAGAGAUCAGGUGACCCUAGCAAAUGCCAAUGAUGGUAACAGUGGAACGUCGGCGACAUGGAUACUAGGUGACGUCGUCGUUUCUUUGCUACCCCCUAGGCUACCACCGGCAGUAGUGGCCACUACUGCAGAGUUAACUGUUAAGUCGAAUCGACUUUAAGCAGUGCAUUUGCUGGAGUUCAUACUCUGAACUACUUUAUGCUAUUCGAGUUUGAUUGAAUCGAGUUCAAUCGAUUUUUCAAGUUUGAUUUUUGUAGUAAAUUUUAUAAUAAUGAAUAAUUAAAAUUAUAUUAUAAAUAUACCAUCUGAUAAGAUUUAAGGAGUGCACAAAUCGUGAUUUAACUUGCUAGAAAUCGAUUCAAUUGCUUUUUUAAACAAUUCAAACUCAACUCUAACUCCAAAUCCAACUAUGCAUAUGAUAUCGCGGUACAGUAGUAUUUCUUUUUUUUUUUUUAACAAAAUUUUGAUUCAAACGGCUUUUAGGCUUCAGAAUGAGAUAAACUCUUUCCCUCCUCAUAAUCUUUUCAUGCACCAAAAAUAUUAUUAUUAUGAUGUAUUAGAUAUAGAAGAAUAUCAGCACACAACACAGAACCAUAAACUAUUUUUAUAAAGAAAUGAAAAAGGAACGGAGCUCCCUCACUUGACUGUUCCUUGUGAAGCUCCGUGAAGACAAACAUAAAAAAAAUGAACCAAAAAAAAAAAAAAAAAAAAAAAGUACUCCUACUAGUAGUAAAAGGAUUGCAUACAAAAAAUGGGGCAAAAUCGUGACUUCAACUUGUUUGGAAAUUGUGGAAUUCCACGAGCAGUUUCUUUCUUGUAAAUGGUUUCUUGUUUAAAUUGCUAUGUUUUGAGGAAAAAAAAUUCAUUUUUCGUGAAUAAUCCUUUUAAUUAUCUUUUUUAACCUCACAUAUAUCGCAUUUUUUAAAAAAAUUGUUGCAAUAAUUUUUUUUCUAAAAAUUCUUUAAAAAAUGCAAUCCAAACAAUUUUAUUUCAAACUAGUGAUAUUUUUUUUUUCGACAGUCAGCAAUAGUCUACUCAUACUUCUACUCGAACAUAUUCUAAGGGGAGUCCAACUGGGUCAAUAGAUAACCAAUUUGAACCAAAUCACCAUCGGAUCGAACGAAUGCACUAUAUACCUGUAUGAAUUUUUUAGAGAAUCGCAUAAUGUAACAAUUAGUAGGAGGUAAGGAUUCACAAAGCCUCCCACCCCACCAAGCCUUAAGGACCUGGUGGAGGGCCGGUGGUCACAAACUAGUGAUAUCCGAAGGCUAAGAAAACGAAUAUUGAUUUGUGCACAUAAAUUCUGGUUGACAUGGAAUUGCUUCACAAGCAGAUAGAGACUAACGUCAGUCUCACUCCCUUACAAUUACUUGAGUGAAGAAUAAAUAAGUAGGAGUUCAUGCCAAUCUCCACCAUUCAUUUGAUUGCAAGCCAUAAUUCAAAAGAUACAUACAGAUUUUAGUCAGAGGUGAUCUGAGAUUAAUAUGAUAUAAAUAUAACUGUCAAAGGUUUCCCCUUUUUAAAAAUGAAAGAAAAAGAAAAAGUGUUACUCAUGGGUGUUAGGUACUGUUUAUCCACUUUGGUUAAUUACCAGGGAAAAUGAUGUGAUGCGAACUUGAUGCAGUGUAUCCUGAAAAAAAUAAGACAGUAAACCCAAAAAAAAAAAAAAAAAAAAAAAAGGAGGAGGAGAAUGAAGAAUGAAAACGUUUAUAAUUUGGUGAACAGAUUUUAUUUUUCCCGUUUUCUUUUCCGCUGAGCUGAUUUUUUCAACCUGAAGCCUGAAGGGGCCUGCAGGGGAUAAAGUGUUUAAAGGAAUAAACUUUUUCCCUUUUUUUCAUUUUUCUCGAUUCUUUUGGGUUGCGGGAGAGAGUGACAGCGGAAGCAGAUUCGCAUGGAGGGUGCCGCUACGACAAGAGGCCACUUGGUAGGAGGAGAGUAGCGUUUGGGAAGUGGUUCACAACUGUCAACUGGGACGGGUGGUGUUAAUAAAUGCCUAAUCCCUUCCUGUUCUUAAACUUUCCUCCAGGUUAGAGUCUGGAGAUUGGUCGGUUUGUGGUGAAGUUGUUCGUUGGAUCCUCAUCGGACGGUGUCAGGGGCUUUGAAAAUUGAUCCCCCAGUCAACUACUAAAGCAUUUUGCGCCAUGCAGCAGCUCGCUGGCUGUUGACAGAGGCUGACCAAAUAGGGUCCGGUUCUUCCCAAGUAAAAUUUAGUUGAAGUCAGUCGAAUUCAAUUUGGAGUAAAAAAAAAAAAUUUUGUUAUUUUCAUUCCAUUUUUUUUUAAAUUAUCUACGCUCAUAUCAUUUAUUUUAUUAGAUAGUUCGACAAAUAAAUAUUAUAUGAUUAAAAUAAUAGUAAAAAGAAGCCAAAUGUUCACCAAUUAGGCUGGCUAUCAAUCGCUGAUAUAGCCCAAUUUGCGUAGCCAUGUUCUGCAAGUAUUUGGCAUUGUACAAGUAGAGUUUGUUUUUGAUUUCGGCACGCUUUUAUCUUGUAUUAAUGCUGAUUUCUUGGAGAUAGGUAGCAGAUUAGUUAACUCACAUGAUAAUAGGUUCUGAUCUAUUAAUAUCCCCAUCCAAACCAAGCAAUCGGUUCAAGUGAUUACCUGGUACGAGAGGCUCGAUAUGUCAAAUUGGGUAAGCAAUUUACUUGGAAAAAAUGAUGGCAUCGGUUAAUACAGCGCAGUUGCAUGGACCCAUUUUAAGGCAUUAACCGUUCCCCGUAACACGUCCUCGCUGGCUGGAGAGGCCGGCGCCUCCAUCACCUACUACUUCCGGCCGGCUACUAUAUCUCAAAUCAAGAAAUCAAAAGCAGAUAUGCUGCUCUUUUCAAGAUUUUGUUACCCCUUUCUAAUUAAUUAGUCUCUUUCCAGCUUCUUCUGGGUUUAUUUUGGUUCUUGGUUUGAAAUUUUCUUCCCUUCCUUUUUUUCCUUUUGUCUGGUGGUUUGCUUCUGUCUGCAAUCUUCUAGUAGCUUUUUUUCUAGCCAAUUUUCUAUUUAUGGUCAACGAUGCCGGAGCAGCACGAUGUAACGUUGCGGCGUUCAAUUUGUCAUGAUCAAAUUCUGGUGUUGAUGUUAUAAAUUUCCACAGUACGGAUCAAAAUUCCUCUUCUUUUGGUUUUGGAAGAGAAACCAACGCAGAAGGUUUGUAGUUUCAACUUUCAAAGUCUCGAAGAAAUCCAUCUCAUUAAUUUUCUGGGCAAGGUCCACUCAUGGUCAUGGGCGGGCAUUUGUUUUACCGGGCGGCAGGCAGGCAGAGGCUUAGCUAGCUACCGUGAAUUUAUUUAUCUCUCUUUUGAUUUUUUAUUUUUCGGAAGGGAGCUACCAUGCAUGAAAUAUGGAUGUACUGAGCGAUGGAUAUAAUUGAAAAAUAAAUAUUAAAAAAAAAAUCUCAGUGGUAGCCACUAUUGCAUAUUAUGAAUAUUUAUGCGCAACGGAUAUUCUGUCCCAUAUUCUGUGCCACUCUCUAUCCCACUUUUUAUUAUAUUGUUAUUUUUCCUACAUAAACAUCAUGUUUUAAUUUUUUUUUGUUUUCUUAAGAUUCAAUAACUAUUAAUUGACAAAUAAACAUCAUGUUUUAGUUGUUUUCUUAAAAAGUGGGACAGAUAGUCCUCGCGAUAUUUAUGAUGCCACAUUAGAGAUUCAGAAUGGUCAUAUUUAGGCAACAAUUAGUGCUAGCUAGCAACACAUAUUACAAAAUCCCAAAAUUUGCUACCUAUAACUACUGCCGAUUGCUUGUCGCCAACUAAUAAGUAUUAGCCAAACCAAAACAGCUUAAAAAUGUCAAAAUAGUUGCAGUCCAGUAGUAUUAAUUUGGCAAACGUGGAAAUUUUCUGAUGCCAUGUUGUCCUUGCAUGAUACACAGCAUGCUUAGUUGUUUACCAACUUUGUAGAGGACCGGCACGUCCCCCCCCCCCCCCCCUCUUUAUCUAUCUAUUAUAAGUAGUAUUUUUCUUGAAAAAUUUUACUGUAAUAAUGUAUAUGAAAAAAUUGUACUAUAAAAAUUAUUUGAAAAUUUUAAUGUAUUAUAUUGAUGAGAAACACCAUAAAGUUGAAAUUCACGUUCUUAAUGACCAUUGUGAUUAAAUGGCAUGGGGGCAAAAAGAAAUCUUAAAUAAGCUGACGGGGCGGGGAAUGGGAGGUCCUCGCAAUCAAAAUGUAGGGUAGGACAAAAAAAUAUGAUAAAUGUUCAGUUCAACAAAAUUGCGAGAAAAGGAAGAUGAACAACCCAAUUCUCAAUAACGAAACAUAUUAUUUCUAGUCAUUGCAGUAGCGUGUAGAUCAUUGCAAUAGCUUUCCGACACACGCAUUAAGGAUGUGGAUUAAAGCACUUGUAAAGUAGUAGUACAAAGUAAGUUGGGGUUAACCUUUAAAAGUUGGAGUGACGAGGUUUCUGAGUUAUAGUAAAUUAUUUCCUGCAAAAAGUACACUCAUUCUUUCUAUGAUGUAUUAAUUCUUUGGGGUGACCACACCAGCCACUAUCAGCUGCAAGUUGCUGCUGCUGCUAAUGAUGCAGUAUGUGUCAUGGUCAAAUCUUUUGGAGUGUCCAGAGUAUAAAUAAUCGUCACUUUUGUCAUCCAAUAUUGACGUGUGCAAUUAAUGAUGAAGAGGAAGGACAUCCUGUCCUCCGUCCAAUGGUCUGGUGUAAACUUCGCUUCCUGUAUUAAUGCUUCUUAAUGUAGUACAGUAGUUGAUUUGAUUAUAUUCCUUGAACCUGAACAGACGCAGGUCAUAACAGGAAGUUGUGUGCAAGAAACAAUAAUAAGAUGCUAAAAGAAACUUUUUUUUUUUUUUUUUUUUAAGAUAUCUUCUCCUGUUGCCUGAAAACCAAUUAAGGAAAAAAAAAAAAAAAAUUCCCGCCACCAAUUAGAAGUAAUUUGGUGGUCGCCAAGGCACAUGCGACUACUGUCCCUUCCUAAAAUAGUUAGAAAUACACAAUUUUUUUGGUCCAACCCAAAUUCAAAUUGGAGUAAAUUUUUUUUGGUUAGUCUGCGCGGUUUUUAGGGUCUGCGUACAAGUUGACGUUUUCUUGUUCUCAAUGACAGAGAAUUAAUUUUCUCAUGUCAAAAACAAACCCCAUAUGUGAUGCGAUUUGUUGCUUGUAGACGUUACCCAUUAUUCGCAGUUGACUUAUUUGUAUCGUUAAAAACAGGAGGGUUCAUCUAGAAAGGGGUUUAAGUGGUUGACCAAUCAGACGUUCUUCUUCUUCUAUGUAUAUAUAUAUAUAUAUAUUGAGUCAACUAAUCCAAUUAUUAUUGCUGCUUAAUACAUGAUGAAUACAAAUACAUAGCAGACCAGACCUACUUGGCAUGGUGGAUUGCGUCUGAUUGUGGUCCAAAAGUACUUCAACAACAAUGCCUUAUAGAAGGUGGUGUUCGAGCGACUCCAACCAUAAUAUAUACUCCCUAUAAACAAACUAGGCGUGUUGAAUUAGUAAUUUUGUCAUUCUGACACUUAUGAUUAGUACUAAUCAGACCCAAGUUGCCGUACGGAUCCUCUAGCUAAACAAGCUAUUGGUACAAACAAAGAAAAAGCAAUCGUGUCGUGGCAUAUCCUCCGCCAAAAAAAAAAAAAGAAAAGUAUCUGACCCACCCCAGAAUCUCCAAGCAAAAGUUGUUAAACUCAUGCAAGCGCCGAUUCCUUGCUUUCGUUCAUCCUUGGAUACCAGAAGUGGGGGCAGCAACUGCAAGGGGAAGGAAUAUUGGCAUUGUGCCUUGCUCAAAGGCAGAAGUCUUUUCCUUGAAGCCUCUUUCAUUCUUUUUUUGGUCCAAAACGAAGCUUCUUCUUUCAUUCAUUAGUAGCAGCAAUUAUAUAUAUAUAUAUAUGUAUAUUUUUUCCUUUCCCUCCUCCUCUUGCAACUUAAAGAAUUUCUUGACAGAACCAGGGAUUAUCACCACCAAAGAAGAGAUUAAAGAACCAUUUUUCCUUCUCUGAUAAUUUAGAGAUUUUUGCUUCAAGGAGUGAACAACCGUUUAGAAAAAAAGUAUGAAAGAGACGCAACAUAUUAUUGCGUGCGUCAUCUUUGCUAGGGGCUGGCUAAGGCUAACAAAAUUUAAUAUGGCCCAUUCGUUGAACCUUGCAAAUUUAUUCCAACCACUCCUCUGCUCUGCCUGCGGUGAGGCGGCAAUCGUCAAAGCAAAGCAUUGGGUCCAUCCAUUGAGGGAAAAGAAGGAAAGGAAAGAAGAAAAAAAGCAUUGGGUGUACAAUGGCGGCAGGGUAGUGCGGGUCCACCAGUCCAUGCCACGUGCCCAAAAUUGGCUGCUGGCGGUGAUUAAUUUUGAUGGGCCAGAACCUGACAGAUGGGUUAGUUUCUCCAUCGUUAUUUGUUUCUCUUAUGAGAUAUGGACUUGUUGUGAUUUGAAACUCUAUUCGAGCUCAGUCCUGGAAACCUUCUAGAUGUGGGCGGUUUGUGCUGCGGGCGGCCUAUUAGAGUCUCCAAUUGGCCCGUUUUUGACAUGCUGCAAGUGAUUUAAAGAGUGGAUACAGUUAAAUAAUGCAAGGCUCUGGUGAUUAUUUGCCGCGUAUAAAUUUUGAAGAAACACCACGCAGCAUUUCUGACUUCCUAAGCUAAGCCGCCACCGUUCUGUCACUUUCUUGACCAUCUUUUUGGUGGCUUGCAGUUGCAGCUAGUUCUCGUCCGACAGACGUCAGAUUGCGCUGCUUGCAGGAAUAACAAGAAGGUAAAGUAGCAGAGGGCACUAAUUACUAAAUAUAACGGAACAAAUUAAGGCCUAACUCAAGAGACCCAACCUGAAAUCAACAUUUUCUAAACACACAGUACUGAUUUUUUAGUUUUCAAAUUCAAGUCCAAAUCCACCACGGCGGCGCCUUGAGGUUGUGUACGCCACGGUGAAUUGCAAGUAGAAUAAUGAGAAGUUAAACAACAUAAAAAAAAAAAAAAGGUUCUAGGCUCUCAGGAAAUCCAUUUAUAUGCCCCUUUUUGCUGAUUUGUUCUAGGCUACUAAAAGCCUCCCUUCCCAAUUCCCAUCAUCAUAUGUGGGGUGGGCCAAGUGUAACAACAUGGAUCAAGGAGCUAUAUAUAUUUAUACAGAUUCGUUAUGUAAGUAAUAUCGUCGCAUCAUUAACAAGUCAAAAAAAAAAUAGAGUCCAAAUUUCUUCUUACUUAAUUUUACUGUUCGGUAACCCUGGUAAGGAGUAGGGCCUAGAGGCCAAGAGCAAAGCGACACCCUUAGUUGGGCCAAAACUCCCCCUGGAAACAUGCGCUGGUGGGAGAUGGUAUUUUGGGCCAAAACUCAACCCAAGGAAAUUUUUUUUAAUUAUUUUUAAAAAAAGGGAUUUGUGAAGGUUGAAUCUCGGAAUUGCUUCAAUAUAGUUGUAGACAUAUAUAUAGGCAGCCUAGGUUGGUUCUUACGAAGUAAAAUCUCUCAGUUUAUGCCCCCAUGGGCCCCAUCCAGAGGCAGCCAUGGUUUGGUUUGACCAGGCUGGGCGGGUCAUAUGGGUGUUGCAGCAGAACUCUAUCAUCUCAUGAAACCUAAUCCAAUUUACUACUACAAUCCUACAUCUGACGAUAGUCUUACGAAAGAGUUGUUACUACUAGUUCAUCUGUUAGUGGGUCAAGAUUCACCCGAGUCAAACUGCAAAGUGUGGUGGUUAGGACUGUUGGGAAUAAGGCAAUCCAUGUAAAACUGUUCUCCCUACUUCUUUUACAGUUGCAGUUCUUCUUCCGCAACAAUUAUUACUUGGUUUGACCUUCAAUUCUCCCCAAGCAUUAGGCAACGAUCAUUAUAUAUAUGUUGAGAAAAUGUGCAAGUCUUCUUAAAAAAAAAAAGAGGUGUGCAAAUACAGAGGGAAAUGUUGAGAAAAAAAAGGUUUCCUCAUGCAAAUCUCAUUCUGCUCUGCAGAAAGAAGCAUAAGUUCUGUGUUUUGCCCAGUGUUUUUCCAAGUCCUACAAGAAUUUCAUUUCCAGGUGGUUACCUAAAUCUCUAACCAAAAGGAGUCUUAAUUCCAUUCCCAAUCUUAGAGUGAUUCGGUGCGGAAGAAAAAUAAAAUAAAAUAAACGUUACCAUAAUCUGAAUGAAGAAGGUUAUUCUAAAACGACUAAAAAUUGGUAGUAUUUCCUUUUCCAACACGGUCACAGAAAUUGGCGCUCCAUAGUCUAUAUAUAAGAGGCCAUCCAGCCCUCUUCGACAUUAAGAUUACAGCUAUCGAGCCCCCUGCACUUUAGAAGUUUUCAUUCAGGUAAUCUCUCUAUUCUUCGAAUCUUCAAUCUUCAUGCGCCUUGCCUUGCUUCCCAGUUUGGAUUUUAUCAAUUCUACGAGAAGCCUCAUUAGUAUAAUGUAGCAGGAAGUUGUUUAUAGUACGAUUGUAGUUGAAGUUAGAGAUAUUAAGGGUUGAAAAAAAAAGGGCAGUUUGUUGAAACAUAAAUCGAAGUAUACUUGUUGAAGUACAUAUAAUAUGAAUGACUUCUGAUGAUCUUUGACAGGUGCCCCAUCUCCAACAAAACUUGGAACCAUGUUUCCUUUUCAAUUGCAAACCCCUCACCAAACUACCUAACUACUCUUGCCCCACCAGUCUCCUAUAUUAAGACUCCCUCUUCCAAGUCUUUCCCUUCAAUCUUCCCUUCUCUCCAACGCAAGCACUAGUUAUAUUUCUCGCACCAAUUAUCUUUCUGAUCAACAGGCUAAUUGACAAAGAUGGGUGCAACAAUGAGAUGCAUGGUGAUUCUUGGCGUCCUGUUUGCUCUGUUUAUGUCGUCCACUUCUGCGCAGUCAUGUUCAAAGUACAACUUUGCUAGCAAUAAAGUUUUCAGUGCCUGCAGCGAUCUUCCAUAUUUGAACUCCUAUCUUCAUUGGACGUACAGCCCAUCUUCCCAGAGUCUUGAGAUCGCGUUUAGGCGCUUGGGAACAUCAUCAUCAAGAUGGGUUUCUUGGGCUAUUAAUCCAACUUCUCAAGGGAUGGUGGGAUCACAAGCACUCGUGGCUUUCCAGAAAUCUGAUGGAACCAUGAGAGCCUACACUUCGCCUAUAAAAAGUUACCAGACGGGAUUACAAGAAGGAGAUUUGAGCUUCCCAGUUUCGGAUUUAUCUGCUACUUAUUCGAAUAACGAGAUGAUCGUUUAUGCUACCUUGAAGCUGCAGAAUUCCAGCUCUACUCUGAACCAGGUGUGGCAAGAAGGUCCACUCUCAAACGACAGCCCUGGAAUGCAUCCCACCACUGGUCCUAAUGUCCAAUCCAUGGGCACUCUCAACCUACUUUCUGGAGAAUCUAAGACCACAGCAGGAGCCUCAAGUUCAAAACUCAAGGCUAAGAAUGCAAGUCUUUGAAUCGUUUUUCCCUUUCUUUCUUGAGUUCGUGAUUAUAUAUCUUUACUUUCCCCCCAAAAAAAAAAUAUAAAGACUUGUAGAUAGAUAGACAUUCCUUGAAUCUAUUUAACAUGUUAUUUGUAAAGAAAAAGUUAAUCAUGAUAUUGCUGACCCAAUCCGCUUUUUGAUAUGUUUCAGAUUCAUGGGGUGCUGAACGCGGUGAGUUGGGGAAUUCUGAUGCCUCUGGGGGCUAUAAUCGCAAGAUACGUUAAGGAAUUUCCUUUGGCGGACCCUGCUUGGUUUUACCUUCAUGUUACCUGCCAAUUAUCGGCCUUCAUCCUUGGCGUGGCCGGAUUUGGUACUGGGCUCCGCCUGGGGAGCCAGUCUCCAGGAAUCACGUACGCAGUCCACAGGGGCCUUGGCAUUGCUCUCUUUACCCUGGCAUUGGUUCAGGCGAGUGCUUUGCUUAUAAGGCCGAAGAAGGAUCACAAGUGGAGAAGCUACUGGAAUUGCUACCACUACCUGGUCGGAUACGGAAUUCUCGGCAUCAGCAUCGCCAACAUUUUCAAAGGAUUGGAUAUCCUGAGCCCGGAGAAGAAAUGGAAAAGAGCAUACAUUGGCAUCUUGGUGACCCUGGCAUCUCUUGCCCUUCUCUUGGAAGUAAUUGUAUGGUUCCUGAAGAGGAGCAAGAGAUCUGCAGGUGCUGACAAGUUGAAGUCGUCCCACGGCACCAAUGGGACAAAUGGACUAAAUGGCUAUGGAGGAAGGAAGCCUGAGACAGUCUAGUUUACCAACUUGAGAUUUAUUCCUCCCUAUACAACUCUUUUCAUUUAGUGUUUUCCUUUUCGGUCGUACCUAUUUAUGCACCCGCAUGUAUAUUUUCCAACUCGACGGCAGAGGUUUUAAGAUGAGUUUAUGAUUUAGUAGUAGUAGAAUUUUAGAACUCCACGCCGAUAUGUAGGUACUAUUGUUUCUUGAAUGGCAUCUGCGGAUUUAUUAUUUUUUUUUCCCAUGAUUAAAAUCUCUUAUCUAUAUGUGUCUUUUUUCCAUAGUCUUAUUUCUGAUCAAUAGGUGUCUGUACUCUGUAGAAAAAGCAAUUGGUGUAUGAUGACACACAUCAUUAUUUGCAGAGACCUAGAAAUAUUGACAGACAGACAGCAAAUACUUUAUUUGUCCCAGUCAAUUCGUCCACUUCCUGCAACAUGUGCUGAUAUCAAUAAUUUAAUUAUCAUAUUCUCAACCAUCCAUGAAAAAAAGCUAACUUUUUAUGUUGAUUACUUUGCCCUAAUUAUGCAACCAAUGCUAAAAUCAAGUAUCUUACGUUUUCUUGGAAAAAAAAAAUGCCCACAAGAGUUUCCAAGAAACAAACUACAGUAGCGCAAAGAUGCACAUUCCGCGGCAUGGCUAUAAAAACAGCAAAGCGCAGAGAGGAGAGGCAGAAAAUACUCAAACAUAGAACUAGCAAUUUCUUAAGAGCCAUAAGCUUCAGAUAUCAAGAAAAAGCAUUUUUAGGAGCUCCAUCCAAUGUAGGGUGAACUUGGAACUAAGGUAGUCAUAUCAAUUGGACACUACAGCGCAUUUGGUGCAGCUAAUAUUUUGCAACUCAGUAAAACUGACUAGGCCAUUUUCCAGCUAAUUAGAGUGCCUCUAAAGCCUUUGACGUGAACUGAAUAGAUGAAUAAUCUGUAAUUCUUCAUAAUAUAUAAGAAGGUGACUGUUACGGAACUGUUGUGGUAGCUCUCUGAGUUACCACGUUUCUCUCAUUUGGAUUGCUGCAAUGCCUCAAUGAAGGCAUCCUUGAGAAGAGGAUUUGAAGCUGCUAUUCUUUGCGAGGUGAUAUCAAAAUCAGCACCAGACCUGCGGCAAAAGCAACAUGCAAUACUCAUAAAUAUCCUCUUAUCAUAUAUAUAAGUUAAAGCAAUUAUAAAAUUCAGUGCUAUAUCUACAGAUGCGACAUUUAGAGACUUGGCAUGUUUCAUUUUGGAACGACAUUCUGAACUCCAGAACCACUGGAUGAACAGCAUGCAGAUCCAAUUCUUUUAAUAGACCAGGAAGAUGUCAGAAGUUCGGAGGACUUACGGAUCAAACAGAACGCCUCCAGCUUCUUUAACAAUGAGAGCACCACCUGCCACAUCCCAAGGGCCUCCAUAUCCAAGUUCAUAAAAGAGAUCAAGCCUUCCACAUGCAAUACCACAGAGAUUUAAAGCACAGGAGCCACUCAUCCGAAGAGACCUCACCUGAUGUAUUGAGAAACAAGUAAUAUUAAUUAUGCAAUUUAAAAACUAUAUUUAAACUCCUGAUCCCAUUGCAAGGAUUUAUUUUACCUUGAACAGUAAACUGUUAAUUUUGUUGGUACAGGUGUCCACAGUUAGUUUAUCACGCUUUGUCCCAGCCUGCUUCCAGGAAUCAUUCAUUCAGUAGCUGGAAGCAAACUAAACAUCCACAAUUUAAGAUGAAUAAACUUUAUGCUAGUUUGUACUAUCUCAUAGAAUUCACACAUGAGAGAGAGAGUGAAGAAGGAUCAAAUGAAGUCAUCCACAAUCUGAUGCUGCUGGAUCAGAACCAAUGUCUCAAUGUUCCCAAAGGGCAAAGCUAUAGCGCUUUUUCGAGCUAGUUAUUCAAACAAGAAUGCUUAAUGCAAAUUUUAAAAGGGUAAAAGAAAUAGACAAGGCUCAUCAAAAACAUAAUCUGUUGCUGAAAAAAUGUCCAUGGUCUACAAGAACUUAAAUUAUUACCAAAAACUUCAUUCAAUGUUCUAUUUCUGCAUGCUUAUGAUACGUUCAUGUUGCUGAAGAAAGCUGGUGGUGUUCACAAGCAUAAAAUGAGGGAAGGCCUCAAUGUUGUAACCAGCAUACAUUCUUAAAAUGUGCUACAGCUGAUGGAUGAAGAGUUACCCAAUGGUUCCAUGAAAAAGAUACCAGUAUGUGUUUAGCUACGUAUAGCUGAAUACCUACCCCUGUAGCAAGAAGAGACUUCACGAGUUCAGACUGAGAAGACACUGCAUAUGAACAAAAGAAGUUACUGAGAGGUUUCAAGUUUGAAUAGCAUCAAAAUAUAGCACACUAAUUGCAGAACUAAACUUACCUUUUAUUGGUUUUCCAUUCAGAAAAGCUCCUUUCCCCUCUAUCCCAGUGAAAAGCUGCAAAGUAGAAGAAAGAGUUUUCUCAACUCAACCAGCAAUUUUUUUUUUAUUUAUUAUUAUUUUUUGGUGCCACAACUCAAUCAGCAUUUGUUGCUAUACAUCUAUUGGAUUUGCUAUUUGUGAGCAUGAUGAGCAUAAUUUUGGAAACCCACUAUCCACUGGAUAAAGGAACCCCAAUAGCAUGAAGGGAACAAGAAAACAGAAGCAUCGUGCUUAACAGGUUUGCAAGAUGGACUCAGGCAGACACUACAGAAAUUACUCAUGAAACAUUUCAAUUAUUUAAGACAGAUCCCUCUGGCUUUAUUUCUUAGCUUUCUACACAUGUACAUUUUCUCUAACAUUGAUAGUUCAAAUACCAAAACGAGUAGGUUUUUCGUAAUAAAAAACAGUGUCUCACCUCAUCUAUAAUGGGAUUGUAGACAACACCAACUGUUGGAACCUUUCCAAGUGUAAGACCAAUAGAAACGCACACAAAAGGGAACCUACGAGUCACCAUAUUAUCAAAGUAAAUUGCUUUAGUAACUUGCCAUAUAUCAGAAAGUCUGUCUCAAUAGCUAUGCUUAUUGGCAAGGCCAAAUUUUUACCCAUGCACAAAGUUUGUUGUUCCAUCGAGGGGAUCAACAAUCCAAGUUGGUUCAUCAGUUAGCUCUGUGACACCACAAGCAGCAGUAGUUUCUUCUCCAAUGAACUAGCAGGAGCAGAUUAUUAGAACAAAUAUUAGUGCAAAUGUCAUUAAAAAAAAACACAUCCUCAUCAAGCACAAUUCAAACUACACUGCCCAGCCCAAAACAAGGCAUACAGAAUAAUGACAGUUUACCUUGUGGCUUGGAAAAUGUUGCUUAAGGUGAUUGAAUAUGAGAUCUUCACAUGCUUUGUCAGUUUCGGUGACCAAAUCCACCUUCAUUGCAGGGAUGAUAGCGUGGAAGGUAAACAAUAACCAAUUGUCAUUGAGCCUUUAAAAAGAGAGUAAACUGUAUACACUAUUAUAGUUGUAUGUAUGACACAUGCAAAAUUUGGAUUUCAAAUUCAAAUUCGGAUUAUGUGUUAUGUAUCUAAUGAUGAAACUGUAUAUACUAUCAGUGUAUAGAAAAUUAGUCCUCAAAGAAAUGUAUAGGAAAAGUGCAGGGGAAAAAAAAACCGCACCACAUAUCACAUGCAAUUGUAAACAACUAAAAAUGGUCCUUGCUCUUAGAAUUUUGAACCUCCACGCCCCAUUGUAGCAAGCAUUGAACAUUUUGCCUUCAUGUGGGCAUCAAGAAACCACAUAUAUAAGCAUUCCAAAAUCCUGAAAAUCUUUGUUUUGUCGUCAUUGAACAAAUUUUCCCUUAUACCGUACCCAACUCCCAUUGGCGGAAACUACCAUUGAAUUUGAAUGUAGCGGAAACUACCCCCCCCCCCCAAAAAAAAUCAAUCUUUCCACCCACCGUUAAUCAAGUAAAAUCACAUUAGUCACAAUUAACGGCAAUUGGUCAAAUUUGAAAGUAUCAGCAACAAAAGCAAAAUCGAAAAAUUCCCCAGACUCGAAGACAUGAUCUCAAAAGUUUUGGCCUUUCAUGCGAACGUCAAAGACAAAAAGGUGAACACCAGCAGAACAGAGCUCAAUGAACUUCGAAGGGGAAACAAUAAAAGUUCACCACACCUGGCUUUUAUGCUCCACAUGCUUGGUCUGAUAGAACCCAUUACGAAUUAACUGUUAAGAUGAAAGAGAAAAAUGAAAAGUAAAGUAAACCCAAAAUGACAACCUUUUUGAAGAUGUUGAAGGCGAAAAAACCAUACAAUAAAAGCCUAUCAAACAAAUUGAAGGGGGUGGGGGAGCUUAGGAAAUCAAUCAAGCAACUCAAGGGAAAAGCAACAAUGGAGAAAGCGUUAAACUUGAAAAGAAGAAAAUUGGUUGAAUGAGUGUGAGAGUAUUCAACCUCUCCAGCUUUCUUUGCUGCAUCCACUGCAACGGACAGGAAUUCCUCCACUGAUUUCAAUCAAGAAACGAAUUUUCAGUCCCAAGAAACAUGUUACAAACAGCGACGGUACAAUUUCCUUCACAAUCAAAUAACAGAUACAUGCAAAAAAAGAGGAAAAGAAAUUCUAAAUGUGAAAACAUUAAUUGGGGUCCAACCAUUUUGGGCCAUUCUUCUCUCCUGGGGGAAAAUGGGAAAAAGAGGGCGACGCAGACGUGAACAGAAAUGGAGUGGGUGGGGGUGUAGCGGGUUGGGGAUGAUGGACGGUUGGACGCUUUUAGAUCCUACCGGUACUCGUAAUUUGGCUGACACCAAAACAAGGACUGCCGAUGCUUCGUUGCAUGGGGGAGAUGGAAUUGAAACAGGGCAGCCAGCCUCCAACUAUUUUGCUAGUAGUAGUAGCAGGGGAGUGUAAUCUAUAGGCAUUUUUUAUUUUAUUUUAUUUUGUUUUAUUUAUUUAUGGGACGACCCGUCACACUGAUUAGUACUAAAGCUAAGGAGUAGGGACUAGGAACAGGAUACCUGAAAUCAAUUGAUUAGUAGCAUUUUCACCUUAUUAGGUUUUAAAACAGUUCAAAUAAAAAAUGUUAUCUUAAAUACAGUUGAGAUGAGCCCGACUUGCCAAUUUUGAUUCCAAAUUCAACUUGAACCAAUUCCGCUUAUGAUUUUUGAAAUAACAAAACAAGUUUUGAUAUGAACUUUUAAUUAAAAAGGGUUGAACAUGAUUGAAAGGUAGAUAGAUAUCCUUGGAGAUCGGAGCGAAUAACAUUCUUGAAAAUUCUCGCCUGCAUUAUUUGGUUGCUACAACAACUCGUAAUAUGCUCAUUAGAUAUUCCUCGCUAGUCGCUAGCUUACAUGAAAUGGAAAAGCCGCCCUUUUUUUUUCUUUCCUGGUUCUUAAAAAAUCAGCCGUUCUGGGAACCAACCAGAUGGUAACAUUUGUUUCAUUUUUCGUACGGCUAAAAACAUGUUUUGAUUUUAGUUGUAUCGAGAGAGAGAGGGAGAGAGGAAGCGAACCCGAGAAUUUCCACCAAGCAGCCCGACAGAAAGGGGGAUGCUGAGGAAUAUGCCAGCCAGAAUUCUGAUUCCAUCUGGCAAAUUAUUUUUGAUUGUUUCCUGUCGAAGGCUUCUAUUAUUAUUCUCGACACCAUUUCUCCUCUCAUCUGAGCUUGAGCAUGGUUCAGUGGCUGCAAGUGGAGGUUCAAAUUUCACUGCAGAGAAAAAAAUUUAAAAGUAGUGUUCAAUCACUUUUUUGAUCUAUUACAUCUCUUAGUUCUUAAUACAAGUCUCUUUAGAUUUUCCUUCUCCUAUAAAUUAAGAUAAAAUAAAUUAUAUAAUUAUUAUUGUUGCCCUGAAAAAGAAAAAAAAAAAAAAAGAAGCUACUUACUAUGAAUGAGAAUGAUACUCCCCUGCCAAUUUGUCAUUUCUUAGGAAUGCAAUAUGAGACUCCUUUUCCUCUCAAGCCUCGGUGAAACCGUGCACCGGACUGCGACUUUAGGACCUUCUUUGAUUACUUGACAAACACUGCUACAUUAGACAAUUACUAUUUGUUCUCUUUUGCUUCCUUCCAUUGACUUGUACACUUAAACUGUCAUAAUGAUUAAAAAUUUUUAUUAAAAAAAAAAACCAUUCUUCACCUUCCUUUUAACGAACAAAACAAAAACUAGAUCAAGAAUUCAGAACAGAACACUACAGUCUCUUAACCAUAUUCAUUUGCUGCAGCACACAGGUUUUCCCUCUACAAUGCUCAAGAUACCAACAAGUCUGCAAAAUGCUUUGAAGGUUUACAUUAUUCUUAUUAAUAAUACCAGCCAUGUACAUUCCUCGCUGUCAUAUAUCAUGCACCAUUCACAUUCAUAUUCACAUCUCUCUCUCUUGCUGAAUCUAUCGUCUUCCAGCUUUGUAUUCGGAAUAUUGAAACCUCCAGUUAGGGAUGCAAACGAAUCGAGCCGCUCGCGAGCAGCUCGAGUCGAGCUUGAAUCGAGCCGCUCGAUCGACUUGAGCUCGAGCUGGUCGAGCCAGAGUCAAGCUCGAACUCAAAACAUUAAACUCGUUAGCUCACGAGCCGGCUCGCGAGCUCGAGUAUAUAUAUUUAUUUAUUUAUUUUUAAUAGUAAAAUUACAUAAAUAUUCUUAAUAUUUUAUUAUUUAUUAAGAAAAAAUAUUAUUUUAUUUAUUUUUUUAAAAAUAAAAUAAUUAUUUUUUAUUUUUUUCGAGCUCGAGCUUGAAAAUUACCAGCUCGUCGAGCUCGAGCUCGAGUUCGAAUUCGAUGAAAUUAAGUCAAGACUCGACUCGAUAAGGCCAGAGCUCAACUCGGUUCAGCUCGUUUGCAGCCCUAACCUCCAGCAAACUAAAGAAGAAGAAAAAGAAAUGAAAAGCUUUACGAAAAGGGGGUCCAUGUUUCCAGAUAUUCUGUCACUAGAAACUAUCGUUGCAAAUAAAAUUGGAGGGAAGAAAAUAACUCCCGACAGAUAUUACAACUAGGAGGCAUGAACGCGCUUCGCGCGAUAGAAAUAUAAAAUGCCCUGUCCAGUUUUGAAGUAAUAAAAAUAACAAUUUAUUUAGAAAAGUAUAUUUUUUAGCAUAGUUAUUCCACAAGUUAAGUUUUGUUGAUACUUUUUGGCCGUUUCUCACAAAGCGUCUAGUCAAUGGCAACCGUCAACUUGCAUUUUUUGCAAAACCAUUUCUGGUGCAAAAAUGGAACCAAUGUAGUAUAUAAUACAGAGCAAGAAAAGAAAGAGCAUCCCACGAGUUGGUUAUUUACUGAUUGAGAAACUUUUGUGGCCUAUAAUAGCAAACACAAUUGGAAUUAAACAAGCCUAUAAUGUGGUCUAAUAGACUACAAUCUUAAGCAUCCAUUCAACACUAUAUCAAAGUUUCACGAUGACAACUGUUUGAGGGGGCCUAUACAGAACGUGAAAUUAUGAAUCUCUUAAAGACUGUAUUCACCUCUUCAGCCAGUGACA
rnacentral:lncRNA from 1 species